UGGAUAAUAGACCCUAGGUAUCCGAAGUC
rnacentral:sRNA from 1 species